CCUACCUGGUUGAUCCUGCCAGUAGUGAUAUGCUUGUCUAAAAGGCUAAGCCAUGCAUGUCUAAGUCCAAGCUUGUGUGCGUGUUCAUUGCGAGCGCGUGCACGGGCUAAACCGCAAAUGGCUCAUUAAAUCGGUCGUGAUCCAAAAGAGUAAAUUCAAACGCACUUGGUCGUCUUCGCGCUUCCAACGUGUGAUAGGAUAACUGUGGUAAUUCUAGAGCUAAUACAUGCACAACAUAAGGUCCGAUGAACUGGCGCUCUCGCGGGCGCUCAGUUCUGACGGCUGCUUUUAUUAGAUCGAAAGGGAUUCUCGCGCUCACGCGUGUCUAUCUCUACUUGGUGACUCUAGAUAAACCCACAAAGAGCGCGCGCACUCUUCGCGGAGUGUGCGCGCGCUUUCUCUUUCGAACAUCUGCCUUAUCAGCUAUCAAACGUUUGUUAUGUGCAAACGAUGGCUAUGACGGGUAACGGGGAAUCUGAGUUCGGUUCCGGAGAGGCAGCCUGAGAAACGGCUACCACGUCUAAGGACGGCAGCAGGCACGCAAAUUACCCAAAUCCCAGCGAGCAAGAUGUCAUUCGGAAGGGUGUCAAAGCCCUUUCGAGUCGUGACGUCGUGCCUUGGGGGAGGUAGUGACAAUACCUAACGAUGCGUUUACUCCUGAUGGAGUUUCGCAAUCGGAAUGGUGAGGCUAGAUGUGUUGGGUGCGCAAGUGUUCGAUCUCUGUCUUAAAAACUCUUAUGAGAAUCUACUGAAGGGCAAGUCUGGUGCCAGCAGCCGCGGUAAUUCCAGCUUCAGUGGCAUCUAUUAAUGUUUGCUGCGGUUAAAAGGCUCGUCGUUUGGGUAUCACAAAUCAAAGAGAGGAGAGCGCUCGCUUGGACUAGCGUUCUCGCGGGGACCUCUCCUUUCUCGACCCCCUGACCAAAUCAGAGUGCUCCAAGCAGUCUGGGUGGACUAUAGACUUGCGAGUCGUGUGUUGUACUUGGGUACGUUCGAUCGAGUUCGUCUCUUUCGUUCUGCUCUGGUGCGUGCGCGGCUCCACGGUCUGUUCACUCUUUUAAAAUUCACGAUAGCGAUAUCGCGCGCGUACUUCGCCGUACGUGUGUGUGAGCUUUCGUGGAGACUGUCUUGAUUUUGCAUGGCAUGUCGAACGAGGCUAUACUCUUCGUUCUCGCUCGCUCGCGGCUCACGCCGGUGUUCGGGUGGGGACGUCGAAACGGAAUGAUCAAAAGGAAUUGACUCGAAGGCAUUAGUAUUGCUCGGCGAGAGGUGAAAUUCUAUGACCCUUGCAAGACCACCUGAAAGCGAAAGCGUCUGCCAAGGAUGUUUUCAUUAAUCAUGAACAAAAGUUAGAGGUUCGAAGGCGAUCAGAUACCGCCCUAGUUCUAACCGUAAACGCUACCAACCACCAAUUCGUGUGAUGCACCAAUAAGUCUUCGGUGUUCGCUUGUGUCUCUCGCUUAGCUCGCGCCGCAUGCCUCUCACGGGGUGUGUGGUGUGUGUCGAGUGGGAGCAUGGGCCUCCGUUGAUGGUCGCCCCGAGCAGCUACUAUCUCACAAGGGAAACCACAAGUCUUUGGGUUCCGGGGGGAGUCUGGUUGCAAAGCUGAAACUUAAAGGAAUUGACGGAAAGGCACCACCAGGCGUGGGCUGCGGCUUAAUUUGACUCAACACGGGCAAUCUUACCAGGCCAACACGCUUGUAUGAUUGACAGAAUGAAAGAUCUUUCUCGAUUCAACGGAAGGUGGUGCAUGGCCGUUCUUAGUUGGUGGAGUGAUCUGUCUGGUUAAUUCCGAUAACGAACGAGACUCUCCCCUGCUAACAACACAGACGAAAGUCUAUUUAGAGACGGCAGGAUUCUCUGACUAUUGGUCCUAGUACCAAUUGAGUCCGUCGUCUGUUGUCUAACUUUGCGUUGGCUCGUUCGCGUUCUGUGCACUAUCUCUUGUGUUCGCACUCGAGACUAUGUACGUUCACGUUCGUGUCUUCGUGAGAGUUGACGACAAGAAAUUACAUCUUCUUAGAGGGAUAACCGGCGUCCUAUAAAGCCGUGUCGGAAAUUGAGAGCAAUAACAGGUCUGUGAUGCCCCUAGAUGUUCUGGGCUGCACGCGCGCUACAAUGCCGGGUUCAACAGGCUUUUCAUCAGCCUCGACGCGUCUUCGCUCACUCACGUGGGUGGAUUCGUGUUGAGUGUCUGACCCAUCUUCCUUGACGAAGGAUUCGAAGGGUAAGCCUCUGAAAUCCCGCGCUUCACAUACAGUACGGCGAGAAAAUGAACUAACGUUCACGAUCGUCGUGCUCAGAACAUCGAACCAUUUCGCGUUCGCUUCGGCGUUCGUGUAUUUGGUUCUGGCUUGAUCGGGCCUGGGAACUUGCAAUUGUGUCCCGCAAACGAGGAAUGCAUAGUAGAAGCAGAUCAAAGAUUCUGCUUUGACUAAGUCCCUGCCCUUUGUACACACCGCCCGUCGCUACUACCGAUUGGGUGAACAAGUGAGAACUUUGGAUUGGCGUCUCGCUCACGCGAGAGUGUACGACUCGAAGAGUUCGAACUUGUGUACUUAGAGGAAGUAAAAGUCGUAACAAGGUUUCCGUAGUGAACCUGCGGAAGGAUCAUUA
rnacentral:rRNA from 1 species